rnacentral:rRNA from 1 species
GAUGAACGCUAGCGGCAGGCUUAAUACAUGCAAGUCGAGGGGCAGCAGGUUUGUAGCAAUACAGAUGCUGGCGACCGGCAAACGGGUGCGGAACACGUACGCAACCUUCCUUUAACUGGAAGAUAGCCCACCGAAAGGUGGAUUAAUACUCCAUAAUAUAACUGAAUGGCAUCAUUUAGAUAUUAAAGCUCCGGCGGUUAAAGAUGGGCGUGCGUCUGAUUAGGUAGUUGGCGGGGUAACGGCCCACCAAGCCUGCGAUCAGUAGCUGAUGUGAGAGCAUGAUCAGCCACACGGGCACUGAGACACGGGCCCGACUCCUACGGGAGGCAGUAGUAAGGAAUAUUGGUCAAUGGACGCAAGUCUGAACCAGCCAUGCCGCGUGGAGGAUGAAGGCCCUCUGGGUUGUAAACUUCUUUUCUUUGGGACGAAACCCCUAUUUCUAUGGGGACUGACGGUACCAGAGGAAUAAGCACCGGCUAACUCCGUGCCAGCAGCCGCCGUAAUAC